rnacentral:rRNA from 1 species
AAGCUCGUAGUUGAAUUUCGAAUGUGGCUGGGCGGUCCGCCUCACGGUGUGUACUGUCUGGCUGUGUUCUCUUUCUUGGUGGGCCGGCAUGCCCUUUACUGGGUGUGUUGGGGAACCAGGACGUUUACCUUGAGAAAAUUAGAGUGUUCAAAGCAGGCCUACGCCCGAAUACAUUAGCAUGGCAUAAUAAAAUAGGACGUGCGGUUCUAUUUUGUUGGUUUCUAGAGCCGCAGUAAUGAUUAAUAGGGAUAGUUGGG